GGUAUAAAAGGGCAAGGCAUCCAACACUUCUCCAACAUCCUCACUUGAUCUCCAUCGUUCAGAAGUCCAAAUCCAACUCCUUCUCCAAGCAACAUGAGCAUCUUCAAGCACCAAUCCCAGUGUGACCCAGGUUAUUGCAGACCCACCUCCUCCAGCAGCUGCCAUGGAGGCUCUGGGCAUGGCUACAGCUCUGGAAGUUGUUAUGGAGGCUCUGGGCAUGGCUACAGCUCUGGAAGUUGUUAUGGAGGCUCUGGGCGCAGAACCCGCUAUAGUUCUGGAAGCUGCUAUGGUGGCUAUGGGCAAGGAGGUUACGGGCGAGGCUACAGCUAUGGCAGUGGUUGCUAUCAGCCACUGAGCUAUGGUGGUUUUGGUUCCAGAGGCUGGGGCUAUGGUGGUCAGGGUUGCGGACGUAUUUGCUACCAGCCAAUAAGUUCUGGCAGCUGGGGUUACGGUGGCCGUGGUUGGUACCCACAAGGCGGAUAUGGUGGCUUGGGCUAUGGUGGGUACGGAUAUGGGGGCUGUGGUUAUGGGGGCCUCUAUGGCCGUGGCUCUAGCUGCUAUCAGCCAUGCUAUGGCUAUGGAUCCAGGCGUGGAAGCUUCUCUUACCCCAUCGUCCGAAGGAACAGCAUCUGUGGACCCUGUGGACCCUGCUAAGCCCUGGAGAGGACCUUCUAGUGGAACGUGAAGAACCAAUGCAGGCGCAACAAAUGCAUCAUUAAGCUUUGCCGGGCUCUGCUUUCGGAAAUGCUGAGCCCUGAAGAAUCCCAGCAGGAAUCAGUGGGUACGCAGCACUUCUGCAAACCAAUCCUGUACCUGCCUCUGUUAAACUGCUCUUUACUUGCUCCGGACUGUUGUCUCUAUAAAGGCAGAUCUAACGAUUUAUGCUGUGGCCACUUAUUGUGAUAUAGAUAUAUUUUGUCUCCAAUGUGACAAUAGAAACAUCAUUUAGGUCUCUGCCUAUGUCCUUUCACUCAGAUCAAAGCCAACGGUUUUGCAAUGAUACAAUCCAGUUUAUGAUCCCAAAUUUCAAACGCCAACAAUAAUAACCAACCCAAUAAAUAAAAGCUUGCUUUGCAUCAUAA